GUCCAUGGCCAAAGCACCCUGACUGCCUGAUCUGGUCUGAUCUCAGAAGCUAAGCAGGGCCGGGCCUGCCUAGUUGGUUCCUUCCUAACAUUCACCAGUUGAAUCACAAAAAGUUAAACCUUUGUUUGCUGGAAA
rnacentral:rRNA from 1 species